GGAAUUUUGGACAAUGGGCGAAAGCCUGAUCCAGCAAUGCCGCGUGAGUGAAGAAGGCCUUCGGGUUGUAAAGCUCUUUUGUCAGGGAAGAAACGGUGAGGGCUAAUAUCCCUUGCUAAUGACGGUACCUGAAGAAUAAGCACCGGCUAACUACGUGCCAGCAGCCGCGGUAAUACGUAGGGUGCAAGCGUUAAUCGGAAUUACUGGGCGUAAAGCGUGCGCAGGCGGUUUUGUAAGUCUGACGUGAAAUCCCCGGGCUCAACCUGGGAAUUGCGUUGGAGACUGCAAGGCUAGAAUCUGGCAGAGGGGGGUAGAAUUCCACGUGUAGCAGUGAAAUGCGUAGAGAUGUGGAGGAACACCGAUGGCGAAGGCAGCCCCCUGGGUCAAGAUUGACGCUCAUGCACGAAAGCGUGGGGAGCAAACAGGAUUAGAUACCCUGG
rnacentral:rRNA from 1 species